rnacentral:misc_RNA from 1 species
UUUCCGUAGGUGAACCUGCGGAAGGAUCAUUACAGAGUUCAUGCCCUCACGGGUAGAUCUCCCACCCUUGAAUAUUUAUACCUUAGUUGCUUUGACAGGCCGUGGAAACACCAUGGGCUCCGGCUUAUGCGUGCCUGCCAGAGGAAACAAACUCUGUUUUUAGUGAUGUCUGAGUACUAUAUAAUAGUUAAAACUUUCGACAACGGAUCUCUUGGUUCUG